AGCCUAUUCUAGCCCAAUCACUCCUACUAGAACGUCAAUCAAAAACUUACUUAACCCAUCCUAACUAAAACAUUCUCUAAACUUAGUAUAGGCGAUAGAAAAGACACUUUGGCGCUAUAGAGACCCAGUACCGCAAGGGAAAGAUGAAAUAACAAUGAAAAACAAAGCAGUAAACAGCAAAGAUAAACCCUUGUACCUUUUGCAUCAUGAUUUAGCAAGAACAACCAAGCAAAACGAAUUUGAGCUUGCCCCCCCGAAACCUAAGCGAGCUACUUACAAGCAGCUAUUUAUGAGCGAACCCGUCUCUGUUGCAAAAGAGUGGGAUGACUUGUUAGUAGAGGUGAAAAGCCAACCGAGCUGGGUGAUAGCUGGUUGCCUGUGAAAUGAAUCUAAGUUCUCUCUUGACUUUACUUUCCCUCAGGACACAACUAGCCUUAAUGAGAUAGAUCAAGAGUAAUUUAAAGGAGGUACAGCUCCUUUAAAAAAGAAGACAAUCUCUACUAGCGGAUAACUAUUCAACCACCCCUAACAUGUGGGCCUUCAAGCAGCCACCAGCAAAGAGUGCGUCACAGCUCUUCACAUAAAAAUUUUAUAACAAAAUGACUCCCUUCCCACUAACAGGCCAACCUAUAACCAAUAGGAGAAUCAAUGCUAAAAUGAGUAACUAGGAACUCUUUCCUCUCAAGCGCAAACUUACAUCUUAUAUUAUUAACAGACUCUAAACCAAUAUUACAACUGCAACAAGAUUAAAAUAUUGAACCCUCACCCUGUUACCCCAACUCAGGUGCGCUCAUUAGAAAGAUUAAAAUCUGCAAAAGGAACUAGGCAAACUCAAGGCCCGACUGUUUACCAAAAACAUAGCCUUCAGCUAACCAAGUAUUGAAGGUGAUGCCUGCCCAGUGACGCAAAUGUUUAACGGCCGCGGUAUCCUAACCGUGCGAAGGUAGCGCAAUCAAUUGUCCCAUAAAUCGAGACUUGUAUGAAUGGCUAAACGAGGUCUUAACUGUCUCUUGCAGAUAAUCAGUGAAAUUGAUCUUCCUGUUCAAAAGCAGGAAUGUACCCAUAAGACGAGAAGACCCUGUGGAACUUAAAAAUCAAUAGCCACUGCUAACUAACCAUAAACCUAGCAGGCCUACUACUUAAUAAUGCUGGCUCAUAUUUUUCGGUUGGGGCGACCUUGGAGAAAAACAAAUCCUCCAAAAAUAAGACCACACCUCUUAACCAAGAGCAACCUCUCAAUGUACGAAUAGUAACCAGACCCAAUAUAAUUGAUAAAUGGACCAAGCUACCCCAGGGAUAACAGCGCAAUCCCCUCUAAGAGCCCCCAUCGACGAGGGGGUUUACGACCUCGAUGUUGGAUCAGGACAUCCUAAUGGUGCAGCUGCUAUUAAGGGUUCGUUUGUUCAACGAUUAACAGUCCUACGUGAUCUGAGUUCAGACCGGAGUAAUCCAGGUCGGUUUCUAUCUAUGAUGAGCUUUCCCUAGUACGAAAGGACCGGGAAAGCAGGGCCAAUACUACAAGCACGCCCUCUCUUUAAGUAAUGAAUUCAACUAAAUUACUAAAAGACUCUCACCACUAAUUCCUAGAAAAGGAUUA
rnacentral:rRNA from 1 species